rnacentral:rRNA from 1 species
UACGUAGGGUGCAAGCGUUGUCCGGAAUUAUUGGGCGUAAAGAGCUCGUAGGCGGUCUGUCACGUCGGCUGUGAAAACCCGAGGCUCAACCUCGGGCCUGCAGUCGAUACGGGCAGACUAGAGUUCGGUAGGGGAGAAUGGAAUUCCUGGUGUAGCGGUGAAAUGCGCAGAUAUCAGGAGGAACACCGGUGGCGAAGGCGGUUCUCUGGGCCUUACCUGACACUGAGGAGCGAAAGCGUGGGGAGCGAACAGG